rnacentral:sRNA from 1 species
GCCAGGUGUGGUGGUGCAUACCUGUAAUCCCAGCAGCUUGGGAGGCUGAAGCAGGAGGAUCACAAGUUCAAAGCCAGCCUCAGCAAAAGCCAGGUGCUAAGCAACUCAGGGAGACCCUGUCUCUA